CACACGGAACAUGUCUCCUCCGGUCCUCCCCUCCACUUCCGUUCGAAAUUAAGGAGGGAAAGAAAAAGGGCAAGGCCAGCGAGGGCCGCCGCCGAGCCCUCCGCCCCUCCCGGCCCCGUUUUCGCUGGCGGCGAUCGCGGGGCCAUGGCGACCUACAUCAACGAGCUGCGCGCCCUCAUCGCCUCCACCUCGACCUCCACUGCGUCCGCCGAGGGCGCCGGGCCGGCCUCCGCGCACCUCGAGGUCAAACUCCGCGAGGUCCUCCCGAACCUCCUACGAGACUACGUCGUACCCUCCCCCAAAGCCGCCGGGAGGGAGCUCAGGGAAGUCAGCGCAAUCCUGAAGCUGAUCACCUUCACGGCGCUCAAGUUCCCCGGGGUCUUCUACAACGGUCGCGCCGCCGACGUCCUCAGCGUCAUCGCCCGCAUCCUCACGUUCCUCGCCGAGCCCAAUUUCAGGUUGAGCCAUGAGAUUAUAUUCCAGGCAGUUUGGAAUCUUCUCUCCAUUCUCCGCACAGGUGAUCGUGAAGCCUACAGACAAUUCUUUCUAGAUGCUAUGGUUGCGGUAGAAGACGUGCUAUAUGUGGCAUCAUUGCAUGACAGAAGUCUUAGUGGUGUGUCUCCUGGAAGAUGUUUAGUUAAAUGCCUAUGUGGAUCCUUGGACAUAUUAGACACACCUGGGCCUUUUAGUGAGCUCCCAGCCAGUUGCCGACCUAAGAAUGGACCUGGCGUGCUGGUUGAUCUGACAGGCGAUGCAAGAUGGCGCCCAUUUGCCACUUCGUUGAUUAAGCUAGUUAACAAAUGUCUUACAGACGGGACCUUGUAUGUCGAUGGGCUCGUUACCAUGCCAUUUGUUUCUGCUGCUUGUUCUAUCCUCUGCUAUGGUGAUGGUUCUCUGCACAAGGUUUGUUUUGAUUUCGCACGUAUUGUUGCCACGGUAAUGACUCCUGAGAUUCUUCCUCUAGAAAGCAUCAUUCGUUCAAUCACAUGCAUUUUGAGCCAAGAAAUUAGCGAACUCUCUGAUAUCAGAGAUGCAGAUUAUGACUUUUCAAUGGGAGCGUGCCUUUGUGCACUGCAUUCUUCAUGUCCUGACUAUAUUGUUGAAUCUACAGCUGCUGAUAUUGUUAAUGUUCUCAAAAGAGCAGUAAAGACCAGCAAAAGUGCAGAACUUCAGGUUGCACUGUACACUGCAUACAAGAGAAUAAUUGAACUCUGCUCUGUACAAGUAUGGAAACCAGAAAUCCUUCUGAAGUUGCUCAGCUUGCCAAAACCUUGCAGCAAACUGAUCCAAUGUAUUCGAGCAGUUAUUGGCAAAUUUGGUCAAACCUUUUUCACUCUGGAUGAUGGUAACAGUCAAAGCAGUCCUCAGGCAAGAUCUGAAAAAAAUGAGUUGCAAAAAGCUGGCCAUAAAAGAAUACCACAGAACGAGGAAAGCAAUUCUGCCAAACGUCAGAAGAUAACUGAAUCAGGAUUUUCUGCUGCCACUGGAUUUGAAAAAGAAGAUUAUGGCUAUGCUUUUCUACAGUCUUUAAAUUCACUGAUUAAUUGCCUGUCACCAGACAAUCAUGAGUCUUAUCCAUUAGACCCUGAUGUUGCUAUAGAAGUGAUUAGUCUGCUGUGUAUUUCAUUAUGUGUUUAUCCGAAGACAAGUUUGUUUACCAGAGUUUCUAAGCAAGUUCUUUCCUGGAUUUCUUGGAUUCAUAAACAGACAGUCCAGAGAAACCUGUAUUCCUUUGAUGCAUCACUGUAUUUUGAAGCUCUUCAUACUGUAAUGCUUCUCCAAUUCAAUCUUCCUGGACACACGAAACUGCUUGAAGAUGACUAUCAGUUGAUUGGCGAUGGUACACAUUUUGUUAAUCCAAUAUAUGCUGACCUCAUCAGCAUGUUGAAACUGAUAUGGGAUGUUGGUCAUGAUGUCACUGAAACAAGUUCAAACUACAAGAUAGAGUAUCUUUUGAUGCAAGUCUUUGCUAAGCUUGGCAAUAGACUGAAUUCUGGAUGUGAUCUUGAAUUCUUUGAUUUGGCUAUCUGUAAUGGAACUGCUGAGAUUAAAAAUGAAGCAAUUAUAUCACUACCCAUAAUUGUGCUGUAUUCUGGUCCUAGGAUUCUUGGAGCGAUGUUUAAGAAACUUGAGUCAGUGGAUGCUUUAGGACUCGAGAACGUGGGGAAACAUAUUGCCUUUUCACUUGGUUUUCUAUCUUGCUUAAAUGGAACCACUUAUUACACUGACAAUGUGGGGAAGGGGAACCAUUGCAAGCUAUUCUUGGACAAGCACUAUGAACAACCUGUGUCAACAUUAGAUCUUCUCUUGAGAGGUUUCUGUUGUCCUCAAUGUGAUAUCAGGAAUAGAACUAUCCACAAUGAAGAACAAAUUUCUAUAGUGAACAUUGCACCAUUACAAGUUGAGAAUGCGGACUUCAAUAUUAACAUCUCCAAGGCCCACACUCUCCUUUUCAAAUUUCUCUACGCAGGGACUUCUGAGGAAUUUAUAGUUUCUUUGGUUGAAGUAUUGCCACGGCUAUUGAGGCAUUCUAACAGGCGUCUUCUACUUGAGAUGAGAACUCAAUGGAAUCAGUGUUUUGAAUUUCUACUGUGUCAUGAAAUGAAAGCUGUCAGGGAAGCAUUUUCUGGUGUAGUCUACUGCUUCUUGGAAGACAGUGUUAUGGAUAUUUUGUUUUCUGGUGGACUGGGAAUGAAUGGAGGGUCUAAAGAACUUCAAUUCAUGGAUAAGAUAAAAUGUGCUUUCACUGAAGCUGAAGAUCCUCAGAUUCUUUUGACACUUCUGGAAUCAAUUGGUACUAUUGUGACAGUCAGUGAUAUUCAUGGACAAGUUUUCUUCUGCUCAUUCGUGUUACUUAUUGGCCAGCUUGAUAAUCAUAAUUUCAUCAUAAGGACGACUGCAUUGAGAUUAAUUCACAGAUGCUGUGCAUACUGUUUCAAAGGAGGACUAGAUCUCUUCCUCUUGAGGUACUCACAUGCUAGAGAUAAUUUAUAUGACUAUCUGUCAUCUAGACUUGUGACUCAUUCAGUAAUAAUUAAGGAUUUCGCUGAGGACGUUGUAGGUAUUAAGACCAUAGAGCUGAUUGAGAGAAUGGUUCCAUCAGUUAUACCGAAGCUCAUUAUAUCACACCCAAACAAUAACCGUGCUAUUUUUACUCUGCGUGAACUGGCAAGCCAUCUAAACACUGAGUUAGUACCACUGAUUGUAAAUAUGUUGCCUAAAGUUCUCUGCUUUGCUCUUUUUUAUGAAGAUGGGCAACAUUUGCCAUCAGUUCUGCAAUUUUAUAAGAAUGAGACAGGAACUGAUAGCAAAGAGAUAUUUGCAGCUGCUUUGCCUACACUGCUUGAUGAAAUUGUAUGUUUUCCUGGUGAAUCUGAUCAGCUUGAGAAUGAUAUAAGGGCAGCAAAAAUCUCACCAACAAUUAAGAAUAUUGCUAGAAUUCUGACAGGCAGUGAAACUCUUCCUGAGUUUUUGAGGAAUGAUUUUGUUCGCCUUCUCAAUAGCAUCGACAAGAAGAUGCUUCACUCUGAUGAUAUGAAGCUUCAAAAACAAGCUCUCCAGCGAAUAAGGAAAUUGAUUGAGAUGAUGGGCCCUUAUUUGAGUACACAUACGCCAAAGAUUAUGGUCCUGUUGAGUUUCGCCAUUGAUAAGGAAGGUCUCCAGAUGGGUGGUCUUGAUGUCUUACAUUUUUUCAUAAAGCAAUUGGCUGAAGUAUCCCCAAGUAGUAUCAAAUAUGUUCUGUCCCAAGUUGUAGCUGCUUUCAUUCCAUCUCUGGAAAAGUGCAGAGGAUAUCCUUCCGCGAACCUAUGUAAAAUUGUUGAAAUCCUAGAAGAACUUGUUGUAAGAAACAAUAGCUUGCUAAAGCAACAUAUACGUGAACUACCACUGUUACCUAGUAUACCGUCUUUAUCGGAAGUAAACAAGGUAAUACAGGAAGCUAGAGGGCUAAUGACACUGCAAGAUCAUCUGAAGGAUGCUGUCAAUGGUCUUCAUCAUGAAAGCUUAAAUGUGAGGUACAUGGUAGCUUGUGAGCUGAGUAAGUUAUUCAAUGCCAGAAGGGAGGAUAUGACUGCUCUUAUCAUUGGUGAAGAUAUUGCUGAUUUGGAUAUGAUAAGCUCUUUAGUUAUGGCUUUACUAAAAGGAUGUGCAGAGCAAUCAAGGACUGUUGUUGGCCAGAGACUGAAACUAGUUUGUGCAGAUUGUCUUGGCGCACUUGGUGCUAUUGAUCCUGCUAAGUUAAAGGUAAGUUCUUGUGAGCGCUUUAAGAUAGAAUGUUCAGAUGAUGAUCUGAUUUUUGAGUUGAUCCACAAGCAUCUUGCAAGGGCAUUCAGAGCUGCUGUUGACACUACAGUGCAAGAUUCUGCUGCCUUGGCUAUCCAGGAGCUAUUAAAAUUGGCAGGUUGCCAGUCUUCAUCUAGUGAAGAAUCAAAUUGUUGUGAGAUGAGCUACAGGGGCCAGAAGUUGUGGGAUCGUUUCUCAAACUAUGUCAAGGAAAUUAUUGCCCCAUGCUUAACAUCGAGGUUUCAUCUUCCUAACACAACUGAUUCUGCUAAAGUCAGCCCAAUAUACCGCCCCACAAUGUCCUUUAGAAGGUGGAUAUACUACUGGAUUAGAAAGUUGUCAUCACAUGCAACUGGAUCCCGUUCUAGUAUUUUUAGUGCAUGCCGUGGAAUUCUUCGGCAUGACAUGCCAACUGCAAUCUAUCUCUUACCAUACUUGGUCUUAAAUGUUGUCUGUUAUGGUACUCCAGAGGCUCGUCAGAGCAUUACUGAGGAAAUUCUGUGUGUUCUCAAUGCUGCUGCUUGUGAAGAUAGUGGUGGGGCUGCUGUUCAUGAAAUUGUAGUGGGGCAGAGUGAGGUCUGUAUUCAAGCCAUCUUCACUUUACUUGAUAACCUUGGACAAUGGGUUGAUGACCUCAAACAGGAAAUUGCUUUAUUCCAGUCUACUUAUGCCAUGUCUGGAAAGCAUGGAGGUAAAUUGAAAGAUGGAACAUAUUCUGAUCAUGAACAGGAUCAAAUGCUGGUGCAGUGUAGCAAUGUUGCUGAGUUGCUGGCUGCUAUACCUAAAGUUACUCUAGCAAGGGCCUCUCUUAGAUGUCAAGCUCAUGCUCGUGCUCUAAUGUACUUUGAAUCUCAUGUCCAGGAGAAUUCCGGUUCCUCCAAUCCAGCUGCUGAGUAUAGUGGCACCUUUUCAGACAAUGACAUAUCUUUUCUUAUGGAAAUAUAUGGAGGACUGGAUGAGCCUGAUGGCCUCCUAGGUUUAGCGAAUCUAAGGAAGUCAUCAAGCCUACAGGAUCAGCUUAUCAUUAAUGAGAAAGCUGGAAACUGGGCUGAAGUUUUAACCUUAUGCGAACAGGCCUUGCAAAUGGAACCUACCUCUGUUCAUAGACAAUCCGAUGUUCUUAAUUGUUUGCUAAACAUGUGCCACCUUCAAGGCAUGAUCGCCCAUGUGGAUGGUUUGGUUUGCAGUAUACCCCAAUACAAGAAAACUUGGUGCAUGCAUGGAGUGCAAGCGGCGUGGCGAUUAGGGAGAUGGGAUCUCAUGGAUUCAUAUCUGACUGGGACAGACAAGGGUCUGGUGUUCAGCAGUUCUGAGAACAAUGCUUCUUUUGACAUGGAUCUUGCUAAGAUAUUCAAGGCCAUGAUGAUCAAAGAUCAGUUUCUGGUCGCUGAAAAAAUUGCCCAGUCCAAGCAAGCAUUGCUUGUACCUCUGGCUGCGGCAGGCAUGGACUCAUAUAUGCGUGCAUAUCCUUAUGUUGUUAAGCUGCAUAUGUUGCGUGAGUUGGAAGACUUCAAUUCCCUAUUGGGAGACACGUCGUUUAUUGAUAAGUCAUUUGGUUCAGACGAUCCAAAUUUUCUGAAGUUAACAAAGGAUUGGGAGAACCGUCUGAGAUGCACACAGCCAUCAUUGUGGACGAGGGAACCUUUACUUGCUCUGCGAAGGGUGGUUUUUAGUCAGAGUCAUAUGAAUGUUCAGGUUGGGAACUGCUGGCUUCAGUAUGCUAAGCUCUGCCGCUUGGCUGGUCACAAUGAGACAGCCCACCUUGCAAUACUAGAAGCAGAUGCCUCAGGUGCCCCCAAUGCUCACAUGGAGAAGGCAAAGUAUCUCUGGAACAUACGGAAGUUUGAUAGCGCUAUAGCUGAACUUCAGCAAACACUUCUCGACAUGCCAGCAGAAGUUUUGGGAAACACCGUCCUUUCAUCUCUUUGUAGCCUCUCUCUUGCUUUGCCAAAUGCACCUAUCUCUGCAACACAAACAUCGAAAGAGAAUCCAGAUGUAUCUAAAACCCUGCUUCUUUAUACUAGAUGGAUCCACAAUACAGGGCAAAAACAGAGUGCAGAUAUCAAAUCUCUAUAUUCUAGAGUAACAGAAUUGCGACCGAAGUGGGAAAAGGGUUUUUUCUGCAUGGCAAAGUUUUUUGAUGAUUUGCUUGUUGAUGCUAGAAAAAGGCAAGAAGAUAAGUUCGCUUGUAAAGUCGGACCAAUCCCUUCUAGCUCUGCAAGCAGGGCAAGUGACGAAAAAGAGAAGCCUUGGUGUGAAUUUCUUCCGAGAGUGCUACUAUGUUAUGGAAAAGCACUUCACAAAGGACAUAAGAAUCUUUUUCAAGCACUGCCUCGUAUGCUUACUCUUUGGUUUGAAUUUGGAAGCAUAUACGUCCGAGAUGGAUCUUCCUCCAAUCAACUCAUGAAAGAGAUUAAUGCAAAUGUUUUAGGCCUCAUACGUGGGUGUUUGAAGGAUCUGCCAACAUAUCAGUGGCUUACUGUGCUGUCUCAGUUGAUCUCCCGCAUCUGUCACCAAAAUGCUGAUGUUGUCAGAAUGGUCAAAUGCAUCAUCACAUCUAUUUUACGGGAAUACCCUCAACAAGCUCUUUGGAUGAUGGCUGCAGUGUCUAAUUCAACUGUUCUGGCAAGACGAGAUGCUGCUGCAGAAAUAUUGCAGUCAGCAAAGAAAGGAUGCCGGCGUGGGAAUCCAAACAGUGCACUCUUUAGUCAAUUUACAAAUCUUAUAGGCCAUCUUAUUAAGCUCUGCUCUCAUCCAGGGCAAGCAAGGGCAAAAACAAUAAACAUCUCAACUGAAUUCAGUUCCUUGAAAAGAAUGAUGCCACUAGGAAUUAUCUUACCUGUCCAGCAAGCUUUAACUGUGACUCUGCCAUCAUAUGAUUCAAAUAUGUCGGAUCAAUCUGGUUUUCACCCCUUCUCAGUCUCUGAACAUCCCACUAUAGCUGGAAUAGCUGAUGAAGCAGAAAUUCUUAACUCCCUUCAGAAACCAAAGAAGGUUGUUUUCCUCGGAAGUGAUGGGGUUGAACGUCCAUUUCUUUGCAAACCUAAGGAUGAUCUUAGGAAAGACUCACGCAUGAUGGAGUUCAAUGCAAUGAUCAACCGUCUCCUCUCCAAGGUCCCUGAGAGCCGCAGGAGAAAGCUCUAUAUUAGAACUUUUGCAGUGGUACCACUUACCGAAGAUUGUGGAAUGGUAGAAUGGGUGCCCAAUACUCGUGGUCUUCGGCAUAUUCUUCAGGACAUCUACAUAACUCUUGGGAAGUUUGAUAGGGUGAAAACAAAUUCACAGAUCAAGAAGAUAUAUGACACAUGCCAUGGCAAAAUGCCUGACGAUGUGAUGCUGAAGACGAAAAUCCUUCCAAUGUUCCCCCCAGUUUUCCACAAAUGGUUCUUGAUGAGAUUCUCUGAACCAGCUGCAUGGUUUCGUGCUAGAGUGGCAUAUGCACAUACCACAGCAGUGUGGUCGAUGGUUGGGCACAUUGUGGGGCUUGGUGACAGGCAUGGCGAAAAUAUCCUUUUUGACUCGACGACCGGGGAUUGUGUGCACGUGGAUUUUAGCUGCCUUUUUGAUAGGGGCUUGCUGCUGGACAAGCCUGAGGUGGUGCCGUUUAGGCUGACACAGAACAUGAUCGAUGGCUUGGGCAUCACAGGUUAUGAAGGCGUAUUUCUCAAGGUCUGUGAAAUCACUCUAUCUGUUCUCAGGACCCACAAGGAGACCCUCAUGACUGUCCUUGAGACCUUCAUCCAUGAUCCACUCGUGGAGUGGACCAAAGUUAACAAGUCUAGUGGAGGCGAAGUCCAGAACCCGCACGCACAGAGGGCCAUCACCAACAUCAACGCAAGGCUCCAGGGAGUUGUGGUGGGUGUUAAAGCCAGCCCUUCCCUGCCUCUCUCCGUGGAAGGCCAAGCCCGGCGGCUGAUCGCUGAAGCAGUCUCCCUCAACAACCUCGGCAAAAUGUACAUCUGGUGGAUGCCAUGGUUCUAAGUUAUACAUAUCUAACAGAUAACACACACAUACGCUGUGACUGUGAAGGAGGAGGAAGUGAGUCAGUAGCAGCAAGCAAGGGUCCAAAACCAUCUUUCUGCACGGCACAGACUUUGAAAGGCUCAACCCCUCAUGACUCUUGAGGCACAGGGGAUUCAGAGGCAGGUCUGGGUACGUAGGACAGAAUAGUCUGCACACACAGAAACUCUUGUCCACACCCCACCCACCAUCCCAAACUUUGGUGAGUGAGUGACAUACAUGAACCCUCGCGCGGAAUGAGGCCCGUGAUUUUGCUUCCCCUUCUACAGCCCAGGGCUAAUUCUAUAUGUUGUGGUGCUGUGUUGGGUCAUGCUGCUGAUGCUAGCUGCAGCAAGGUUCUUUUUAUUGCCCAAACACAAACAGUACCUGCCGGAAAGAUGGAAUUCCUGUUGCAUAUAUAGGGGUGGAGGAAGGAUGAGGAGGAUGAUGAAAACCACGUGUCCAAGUUCCCCCCUUCUCUGCCUCCUCAUUGUCAUGCCAGCUGAAUGCAAUGAAACGGAGUGGAUUGAUUUCUGUGACAAACAUUUUCUUUAGUCGCUACGUACUAGGAGCAGUCGUGUAUACACUCUUGCAACUGCUGCUACAUGUUACGUGUUCCUGAUCCUACAUAUGUAUAUAGCAGAAGCAAUAAUGUUCUGGUUCUAAACUGCAAGGAGAUGGUAUUUGAACGUGACCAGAUCUUUAUUC